rnacentral:pre_miRNA from 1 species
AGCCUCCUGAAUUCGUGCCAAUAUUUCAUCAGACACCAAAAAAACACAAGGACCGAUCAAACUUCCAAGAUAAGUGAAGUG